rnacentral:rRNA from 1 species
GUAGGGUGCGAGCGUUAAUCGGAAUUACUGGGCGUAAAGCGUGCGCAGGCGGCUUUGCAAGACAGAGGUGAAAUCCCCGGGCUCAACCUGGGAACUGCCAUUGUGACUGCAAGGCUAGAGUACGGCAGAGGGGGAUGGAAUUCCGCGUGUAGCAGUGAAAUGCGUAGAUAUGCGGAGGAACACCGAUGGCGAAGGCAAUCCCCUGGGCCUGUACUGACGCUCAUGCACGAAAGCGUGGGGAGCAAACAGGAUUAGAUACCCUGGUAGUCCCACGCCCUAAACGAUGUCAACUGGUUGUUGGACGGCUUGCUGUUCAGUAACGAAGCUAACGCGUGAAGUUGACCGCCUGGGGAGUACGGCCGCAAGGUUG